rnacentral:ncRNA from 2 species
AAUCAAUAACAGAGGUACCUCUUUUAUCUUGGAUAAAAGAAGUUGAGAAACACUCUUAUGAGCUGAUCUGGUUAACACCAGCGUAGCGAGUUAUAUCUCUCACAAG